rnacentral:rRNA from 1 species
AUCUGGCUCUUCCGGAGUCCGAGUUGUAAUUUGUAGAAGAUGCUUUGGGUUGUGGGUUCGGCCUAAGUUCCUUGGAACAGGACGUCAUAGAGGGUGAGAAUCCCGUAUGUGGCCGAGGCCCGCGCCUAUGUAAAGCUCUUUCAACGAGUCGAGUUGUUUGGGAAUGCAGCUCAAAAUGGGUGGUAAAUUUCAUCUAAAGCUAAAUAUGGGCCAGAGACCGAUAGCGCACAAGUAGAGUGAUCGAAAGAUGAAAAGCACUUUGGAAAGAGAGUUAAACAGUACGUGAAAUUGUUGAAAGGGAAGCGCUUGCAACCAGACUUGGGCGCUGUCGAUCACCCCGAGUUCUCUCGAGUGCACUCGACAGCGCACAGGCCAGCAUCGGUUCGGGUGGCUGGAUAAAGGCCGUAGGAACGUGGCUCCCUUCGGGGAGUGUUAUAGCCUACGGUGCCAUGCAGCCCAGCCGGACCGAGGACCGCGCCUUCGGGCUAGGAUGCUGGCGUAAUGGUUGUAAGCGACCCGUCUUGAAACACGGACCAAGGAGUCUAACAUCUAUGCGAGUGUUUGGGUGGUAAACCCAUACGCGGAAUGAAAGUGAACGUAGGUGAGAACCCCUUUGGGGCGCAUCAUCGACCGAUCCUGAUGUCUUCGGAUGGAUUUGAGUAAGAGCAUAG